UUUAGCCUAUUGCAAGCAUUGUCUGGCUUAAAAAUGGUAAUAUAAAGACUAUAGGACAGUAAGAGUCAAUGAAUGAAAAGUAGCCUAAUUAGCAAGGUUAUCUACAUCCAACAGCUGUUAAAACGGCAGCCCAAGUCUUUCUGCAGAGGGGGUGCACACAGCCAAGGCAAAACAAGAGCAACAUACCAUGUGGUGGCAGCUUAAAGGAAGGACACGUGCACUGCAAGUCAGCCUUCCUGUUCUGCUAGAGAAAUUGGACUUUGAUUGUCAAAGAGGCUAAGCAAGUCACUUCCCUCUUCUGCAGGAGGGCCAUAAUAGAUAUCCUGUCACAACACCAAAAAGCCUUUGUUUGCAAUUGGCCCACAUGUCAAGAAUACUUUUAAUCUCGUUACUCGAUACUCACGACUUACCAUUUGAAAUCUAAUGCUGCUCUCCAAUUCACCUCUGAUGGAAAUCUACUGUGAAAUGGCUAGAGUUUGGGUUCAAGUGUAAUUUGAAGACUGGGAUGAAAGGAUACAAGCUGUUUGUAGUCUGCCCAUGUUUACGACUGUUCAGAAAUACGACAAAAGAAGGCCAAAAUGUACACCUGCCCCCCAGGACUUGCUUUCUUCUCCACAGGUUGUCCCUCUUAAAGUUUAAAGGUGACCUCGCUGUGUAACUGUAUGCCUUUGAGAGCCAGCCACCUGGAUCUAAUGAUGUUGUCUGCCUGGUACAGUAGUGGUGUUUUGGCGACGUGGCAGUUCUAUGAGGAGAAGGAGCUGCCUUGCAAUUAUCAAGAAGUACUGUUAGUUGCUGUACUGCAAAAAUGACUAAAGUAGGGGGAAAGUCGUCAUGUAAAUUAUCACUUUUGAUUUACUGAGACAGUCAGGACCACACAAGGCAAAGCCAAUAGCAGGAUAGAUAGGUACAACAAGUUACAAGCUAUAUAAAAACAUUUCAACCAAAAUGUAGCCAAUACAAAAAAAUGCAACUGGUUUUGCUGAUUUAAUGGUCUUAAACAAAGUACAUUUUUGCUCUAACACAGAACUGAUCUAUUAAUUUUAAAAUAAAAUACAAUAUUUAAUCUUCACUGAUUAAUUAAAGAAGCCAGUGGAGUACUGCAUUAUUUUAUAAAGUAUAUCAAUGUGAUAUUCAAUAGCUGAGAUUUACAAGUAAGAAUUGCAAAAGUUUUGUGUAAUUAAGUCACUUUUUUUAAUUGGGGGAUUUUUGUCUAUACUAAAUCUGUUAACCUCCU